rnacentral:rRNA from 1 species
UUUGGAGGGCAAGUCUGGUGCCAGCAGCCGCGGUAAUUCCAGCUCCAAUAGCGUAUAUUAAAGUUGUUGCAGUUAAAAAGCUCGUAGUUGAAUUUCGGGAUCAGUGCGUUUGGUCGUGCCUUCGGUAUGCACUGGCGUUACUGGUUUCUACCUUCUGAAGAACCGUGUAUGUCAUUAAUUUGGUGUGGCGGGGAAUCAGGACUGUUACUUUGAAAAAAUUAGAGU